rnacentral:rRNA from 1 species
CCUACGGGGGACAGCAGUGAGGAAUAUUGGACAAUGGACGCAAGUCUGAACCAGCCAUGCCGCGUGCAGGAAGACGGCACUAUGAGUGGUAAACUGCUUUUGUACGGGGGUAAACGCAGAUACGCGUAUCUGUCUGACAGUAUCGUACGAAUAAGGAUCGGCUAACUCCGUGCCAGCAGCCGCGGUAAUACGGAGGAUUCAAGCGUUAUCCGGAUUUAUUGGGUUUAAAGGGUGCGUAGGCGGUAGGACAAGUUAGAGGUGAAAGCCCGGGGCUCAACUUCGGAAUUGCCUCUGAAACUGUUCGGCUAGAGUGUAGUUGCGGUAGGCGGAAUGUAUGGUGUAGCGGUGAAAUGCUUAGAGAUCAUGCAGAACACCGAUUGCGAAGGCAGCUUACCAGGCUACUUCUGACGUUGAGGCACGAAAGCGUGGGGAGCAAACAGGAUUAGAUACCCUUGUAGUC